GAUGAACGCUGGCGGCGUGCUUAACACAUGCAAGUCGAACGACGAAGCUCAGCUUGCUGGGUGGAUUAGUGGCGAACGGGUGAGUAACACGUGAGUAACCUGCCCUUAACUCUGGGAUAAGCCUGGGAAACUAGGUCUAAUACCGGAUAGGAGCGCCUACCGCAUGGUGGGUGUUGGAAAGAUUUAUCGGUUUUGGAUGGACUCGCGGCCUAUCAGCUUGUUGGUGAGGUAAUGGCUCACCAAGGCGACGACGGGUAGCCGGCCUGAGAGGGUGACCGGCCACACUGGGACUGAGACACGGCCCAGACUCCUACGGGAGGCAGCAGUGGGGAAUAUUGCACAAUGGGCGAAAGCCUGAUGCAGCGACGCCGCGUGAGGGAUGACGGCCUUCGGGUUGUAAACCUCUUUCAGUAGGGAAGAAGCGAAAGUGACGGUACCUGCAGAAGAAGCACCGGCUAACUACGUG
rnacentral:rRNA from 1 species